AUCUUGGCUCUGGUUUUUUUUUUUUUUGUUUUUUUUUUUAAAUUGAGAAAGAGAAAUCGAGACUAAUUUGGAAAGAGAAUCUGUUUGUGAGAAUGGAGUUGGAGGAAGAUAUGGAGGUUUAAGCUGACACGGUGUUUAAAGCUCUUGAAAUUGACAUCGAAUACAAGUUUGACGUUAUACGGUUCAUUGAUUUCACUCGGGAGAAAACUCAGGCAAAGGCUUCUGAAGUUGAGUUGUGCUUAAGUUUGCUAAAUGCUACCUUUUUUCUCGAUGGCUUACCAAGUAACAAACCAGAAGGUAAAACUAAUUCUUAGGUGAAAGCAUCUUGCAAUAGGAGCUCAGCUUUAAUGAAGCCAACAACAAGUAAGCAAAAUUGACCUGCUCGUGAGUUGGUAGGUCCAAGUACUUCCUUCAGAUCAAAGUGAUUAUAGUUUUUCUCACUUAAUCUUAUUUGUCUUUAUAAUUACAAUCGAAAAGUAGGAGAAAUAAUAUUUGAGCUAAAAUUAUUAAUUUUAUGUGUAUGUUUAUUAGAUUGUUCAUUGUGAAUUUAGUUACUCAAGGUUCUAUGCUGAAAUAGUAUAUUGCUUAUUCUUUCUCGGUGGCUCUAUAAGAAUAAGAUUAUUCAUGGUGAUACACAAUUGGAUUUUAAAUGGCAUGGUCACUAAGUGGUCAAUUGAUUAUUUAUGUGUACACAUAAAGUUAUAUAUGUAGUGUUGUCACCGAAGUUAAAAUGCAUAUAUGACUGUUUCCAAAGUUGAAUUGUUGUUGUUCCUAUUUGCCUUUUUGGCAAGUAGAAUAUUAUAUUUGAAAUCAUAUUAAAAUAUGCAUGUUAUACAAUGUUAGUUGUUGCACUUAUUAAUUGGCACCAUUAGUUACAACAUGUACUUAUUAUUUGUUUGAGAGAAAGAUAUUUUACUUUAUUAAUUAGUUUCGGUGUCUUUUCUCUUGUUUUUUUUUUUUUCAUUAUGAAACUUUUAAAAUGGUAUGAAGGCUAGCUUAACAAAGUGAUUGAAAUUUUGCAAUGUAUAUUAUCGUUUGUUGUUGUGUUCUGUCAAAGAAGAGUCUCCCUCUUACUGUUAUUAUCACUGCUUCUUCUCCAAUUAUAGAUUCUAAUGAAAAUCUUACUGAACCAUCUGUAGAAAAUGCUUUUGCCAUUUAGGCUUCCACCCGAAAGAGAGAACGAUUUCUAAGUUAAAACAGUUCAUCAGGUCUUCUUCAUGCUUUGUAGUUUCCAUUUCCAUUUGGGGUAUCUAUAUAUCUAUCUGUGGCACUGAAAAAAUACUUAUAUAUGAUAUCAAUAUAGGAAAUUGAAUGCUGA